GUGGGGAAUAUUGCACAAUGGGGGAAACCCUGAUGCAGCGACGCCGCGUGAGCGAAGAAGUAUUUCGGUAUGUAAAGCUCUAUCAGCAGGGAAGAAGAAUGACGGUACCUGACUAAGAAGCACCGGCUAAAUACGUGCCAGCAGCCGCGGUAAUACGUAUGGUGCAAGCGUUAUCCGGAUUUACUGGGUGUAAAGGGAGCGCAGGCGGUGCGGCAAGUCUGAUGUGAAAGCCCGGGGCUCAACCCCGGUACUGCAUUGGAAACUGUCGUACUAGAGUGUCGGAGGGGUAAGUGGAAUUCCUAGUGUAGCGGUGAAAUGCGUAGAUAUUAGGAGGAACACCAGUGGCGAAGGCGGCUUACUGGACGAUAACUGACGCUGAGGCUCGAAAGUGUGGGUAGCAAACAGGAUUAGAAACCCCUGUAGUCC
rnacentral:rRNA from 1 species